rnacentral:rRNA from 1 species
GGAGGUAGCAAUACUUCCGCCGGCGACCGGCGCACGGGUGAGUAACACGUAUGGAACCUGCCCGUAGCAGGGGGAUAAGCGGAAGAAAUUCCGUCUAAUACCGCGUAAUAACUCCGGGGGGCAUCCCUUGGGGUUUAAAGGGUAACACCGGCUACGGAUGGCCAUGCGGCGCAUUAGCUAGUUGGCGGGGUAACGGCCCACCAAGGCGACGAUGCGUAGGGGUUCUGAGAGGAAGGUCCCCCACACUGGUACUGAGACACGGACCAGACUCCUACGGGAGGCAGCAGUGAGGAAUAUUGGUCAAUGGGCGCGAGCCUGAACCAGCCAAGUCGCGUGUGGGAAGACGGUCCUAUGGAUUGUAAACCUCUUUUGUCGGGGAGCAAAAGACGCCACGCGUGGCGUUCCGAGAGUACCCGAAGAAAAAGCAUCGGCUAACUCCGUGCCAGCAGCCGCGGUAAUACGGAGGAUGCGAGCGUUAUCCGGAUUUAUUGGGUUUAAAGGGUGCGCAGGCGGAAGAUCAAGUCAGCGGUAAAAUUGAGAGGCUCAACCUCUUCGAGCCGUUGAAACUGGUUUUCUUGAGUGAGUGAGAAGUAUGCGGAAUGCGUGGUGUAGCGGUGAAAUGCAUAGAUAUCACGCAGAACUCCGAUUGCGAAGGCAGCAUACCGGCGCUCAACUGACGCUCAUGCACGAAAGUGUGGGUAUCGAACAGGAUUAGAUACCCUGGUAGUC